rnacentral:lncRNA from 10 species
CAGAGGCGUCACCAAGGCACCCUGUUCCUCCAGUUGAUAGAAAACACAUUCUGUGUUUCUUUUAUCUGCUUUUUCCUGCCCACAUCCUCACAUACUAACUGGUUUGAAUGCAAGGGGAAAGAGAGAAAAUUACAUCUGAGGUGUAUUUUAGUCCAUGCUGGGGCAAGGCAGGGAUGCAGAAGUGUAUUUCUCUACUUCAUCCUUCAUCCAGCAGAGUUGGACAAGGAUUCUUCUGGAGUUUAAGGUUGCCUGGAUGAGGAGUGGGGUAUGUAAAAGUUUAGCAACCAGCUUUCAAGUGAGUGAAGACCAACAGCAAUGGGCUCUGCAGUAGAGAUUCAUCCUCCAUUUUGACUGCACACAGUAUCUUUUGAAAACCACUCCUGUAUUUUCAUUUUCCUCACAUUAUGAGCACACCUCCUCUCUGAGAAAAGCCAGGAACUACAUUUUCAGAUGCUUCUCAUCUUGGAUGCCUGAUGGUGAGCUGGUCUGGCCACUCAGAUACAAAUCACUGUGACAUUUCAGUACAAAGUAGAAGGGCAUGAAGAAGAAGGCAUAUCAGGCAAUUGAUCACUUCUAUCACAGGGGUCAGAGGGACUUCCUUCUCUCAGGGCAAAGGUUGGGGAGUUUCUGGCAGUAGAAUCAGCUGCUUAGCAGAGCUGGUGUGUACCCUGUUCUGUGCCCAGCAGUGGCUGCAGUGAUGUGUCCAUGUGGGCAGAGCCCUUAGAGCACCACUGCUCCACGAUGACACAGAUGCAGAAGUUGAAAGGAAAGCUGAGAAAUCUUUAGAUUUUGAGUAAUUUAGUAUCUUCACACCAUCCUACGACAUGACUACUUGAACAGGACACCAACUGGCAUUUUAUCAGACUCACAGGGUGAGCUUCAUGUGGUGAGAGCUGUAAACGAGACAUGUUCUAUGUGGGCUGCGUAUGUGGGUUCUAUGUGGGCAGGACCAUGUUCAAUGUGGGCUGCAUUUUCAGAUAAACUAUAAUGAAGAAAUGUAUAACCAUCCCAGAAAAUGGGUCUUUAAUGAAAGAUAGAUGUUUGGAAAAGAAUUGUUUCUACAGAGUGUUGUAAUAUGUUCUAUACUUUACCUACAAUUACCUGAAUUAGGUGAUGAUAUUGAUAGUGUACAACUGAAAAAGGUUAUUGCUAGGAUAUCUAACAAAAUUGGAUUAAAUUUUUAAAACAUUUUCAUCAAAAUUGAUUAAAUUUUUAAAACCUUUUCAUCAAAAAAUGCACUUGAAAUCAAUUUCUUCCAUUGGAAAAUAUUUUAAAGACAACUAUAACUUUACAGAUUAAAUUGAAAUUGGCUACUGAUGAAGGACUAAAGUUCAAUUUUGAAACUACAGCAUUGUCUCAGUGGUGACCAACUUAAUAAAUGAAUAUUUUGUGUUUGCCAAAAUUACUCUAAAAUGUCUUUCUUUAUUCUAAUUUACCUCUGUGAGAGACUUUUUUCUCUAGUAUGAUUUUCAUUAAAACAGAAUACAGAAACCGUUUAUAUAUAAAUUAUUCCUCAAGAGGAAGAUUGUCAUCAACCAACCUAAAGUAAUUCAUUUAACUAGCAAGAAGCAAGAUUAUUCAUCACAUUAAAAACUUAAAUAUUGAUAUACAUGAUGUUCAUUCCAGAUGUGAGUGCAGGUGUUUAAUAUGAUGAUUGCUAGUUCCUUCAAAACUUUUUGUUUAAUUAUGAUUGUGGAAAAACAAAAAGUUACAAGUAGAGUAAUGAUUCUCUAAAUUAAUCACUGAUAUGCACAACAGCAGUGAAAAGAUACGUUUUGAAAUUUUUUCUGUGUGACUGCAUUAUAUUUAUUCUGAUUAUAUUUAUUGAAAUGCAAUAUGUCUGUUGGAUCUAAUAAUAAAAGCUUUGAA